AAUCUCUGGUUUCCCUUCAAAACGUAUAAAUCUUUCGCCUUUUACUAAAGAUUUCCGUGGAGGGGAACACUAAAAUGAGUCUAUAAGCAUGUUGCUGAUAACUCUGUUUCUAUAAUCU